rnacentral:sRNA from 1 species
GUCCAGGAUUUUUCAUUUUUGUCCGGUGGGAUUUGGGAAGGAAUGCAUUGCCUUGGAUUUAUAAAGAGCAUCGUCGGAGGUUCGUAUUUGUCAGGAUAUUGUCAGUAUGUCGUUGCUACCAAGAAAAGGUGGAAUUUAAGGGUCAAGAUUUUGACCUUUUGCCGGGUCAACAGCGCCGCACUUGGAAUUCGUAAGGACGAGAGGGCUUCCCAACUUGGAAACGGCAUCAAAACAUUUUAGGUUUUUAAUGUUUUAGGUGCCGAAAUCGUCGUUUUUCAUUUCGCCGAGUCGGGAAAUGGGAUUUUGUUUGUAUGCCGUUGCUGCCAGAAAAAAGUCGAUUUCAAGGGUCGCGAAAUUGACCUUUUGCCGGGUCAGCAGCGGCGCACCUAGGGUUAAGAAGGACGAGGGUGCACCCCAACAUGGAGACGGCAUCCAAACAUUAUAGGAUUUUUAUGUUUUAGGUGACAAAAGCUUCGUUUUUCGUUGCGCCUAGCAGGGAAGUAGUAGGUUGCGUAGUUUUAUGCUUUUAUUAAUAUGUUUUUCUUUUUCAGGGAUAUUGUCAGUGUUAUCGUUGCU